CCGGACGUGGUCCAUGGCGCACGCCUGCUUUUCAUGCGUUCUCUUCCUGGACAUCCAUGCAGGCAGGAGAAUCGGGUUCGAUUCCCGGCGUCCGAA